UUAAACCCAGCUGUGACCUCACUGAACGUUUCCCUUUGUGUCUCACAACACAAGGGGGCAGUCACAGCCUGCCCUCUAAAGACAACUCUCUUCCUCCUCACAAAACUACAAGCACCUAAUAACACACACACCCUUCACCCAAAAAAUUUUUAAAUCAUCAUGGCGACUCCUACACCAGCCUCGGAGUUCCCAUCUGGGGAGGGGACCAUAAAUGUCCCCAGGUCGGACUGCCUUUCCGUCGACGACCCUAAGUGUCUUGACACCCCCCUCAACUUUUUCUUCAUUAACUUCUGCAACAUUCGCGGUCUAAGAUCUAAUUUUCAAUCUGUAGAACACCACCUCUCCUCUUCUAAAACUCAUCUUCUUUUCCUCACUGAAACUCAGGUGUCUGAGGCAACUGACAGUAGCCCCUUUUCUGUUCCCUCCUACUUUCUCUAUCCUCAUUUUCGAUCCAAAGCUGGAUGCUGCGUUUAUGUGCGCAAUGACUUAACCUGCUCUCGUGCCCACGCUCUUGAAUCUUCCAAGUUUUUCACCAUCUGGCUACGACUACAGAGUCACUCUCAUACUAAAUUUAUCUGUGCUGUAUACCUCUCCUAACUCCUCUGACUAUAAGAAAUUCUUUGACUACUUAACUUCCAAAGUGGAGCACAUUCUGACCCUCUUCCCUUUUGCAGAGAUCUCCAUUCUUGGAGACUUCAAUGUUCACCACCAGCUUUGGCUUUCCUCUCCCUUCACUGACCAUCCUGGUGAACUAUCCUACAACUUUGCUAUCCUCCAUGACCUAGAGCAAUUGGUGCAACACCCUACUCGUAUUCCUGACCGUCUUGGAGAUACGCCCAACAUUCUUGACCUUUUCCUGACCUUUAAUCCUUCUUCUUAUGCUGUCACCCUUUCUUCUCCGUUGGGCUCCUCCGAUCACAAUUUUUAUACCUUUAUCUUGUCCUAUCACUCCAAUCCCUCCUCAGGAUCCCCCUAAGCGAAGGUGCCUCUGGCGUUUUGCCUCUGCUAGUUGGGGGGACCUGAGGAGGUAUUUUGCUGAUUUUCCUUGGAAUGACUACUGCUUCCGUGUCAAAGACCCGUCUAUCACAGAGACACUAUCACAGAGGUGAUAGUGUCUGGCAUGGAGGCGUAUAUUCCUCACUCUUUUUCUCGUCCUAAACCUUCUAAACUUUGGUUUAACACAGCUUGUUCUCGUGCUAUAUAUGAUAGAGAGGUGGCCCUCAAAAGGUACUUAAGCCUUCCAUCACCAGAAUCUCAUGCACUUUAUAUUUCUGCCCGGAACCAUGCCAAGUCUGUUCUCCAACUAGCCAAAAACUCCUUCAUAAACAGAAAAUGUCAAAACCUUUCAAGAUCUAACUCCCCUCGUGAUUUCUGGCAUCUAGCCAAAAAUAUCUCCAAUAACUUUGCUUCUUCUUUCCCUCCUCUACUUCAACCAAAUGGCACCACUGCUAUCACAUCUAUUUCUAAAGCUGAACUCUUUGCUCAAACCUUUGCUAAAAACUCUACCUUGGACGAUUCUGGGCUUGUUCCUCCCUCUCCUCCACCCUCUGACUACUUCAUGCCACCUAUUAAAAUUCCACCUAUUAAAAAAAAUUAAAAUGAUGUUUUCCAUGCCCUCGCUGGCCUAAACCCUCGGAAGGCUUAUGGACCUGAUGGGGUCCCUCCUAUUGUUCUCCGAAACUGUGCCUUCGUGCUUGCACCUUGCCUAGUCAAACUCUUUCAGCAUUAUCUGUCAACAUCUACCUUUCCUUCUUGCUGGAAGUUUGCCUACAUUCAACCUGUUCCUAAAAAGGGUGACCGCUCUAAUCCCUCAAACUACCGUCCUAUUGCUUUAAUUUCCUGCCUAUCUAAAGUUUUUGAAUCUAUCCUCAACAGGAAGAUUCUUAAACAUCUAUCACUUCACAACCUUCUAUCUGAUCGCCAGUAUGGGUUCCGUCAAGGCCGCUCUACUGGUGAUCUUCUGGCUUUCCUUACUGAGUCUUGGUCAUCCUCUUUUAGAGAUUUUGGUGAAACUUUUGCUGUUGCCUUGGACAUAUCAAAAGCCUUUGAUAGAGUCUGGCACAAAGCUUUGAUUUCCAAACUACCCUCCUACGGUUUCUAUCCUCUCUGUAACUUCAUCUCAAGUUUCUUUUCUGACCGUUCUGACCUUUCUGACCUUUCUGAGCGUUGCUGUGGUAGACGGUCACUGUUCUUCUCCUAAAUCUAUUAACAGUGGUGUUCCUCAGGGUUCUGUCCUGUCACCCACUAUCUUCUUAUUAUUCAUUAAUGAUCUCCUUGUCCUAUCCAGUCCUACGCUGAUACCACCCUGCACUUUUCCACGUCUUUUCAUAGACGUUCAACCCUUCAGGAGGUAAACAUUUCACUCAGGGAAGCCACAGAACGCUUGACUUCUGAUCUUUCUAAAAUUUCUGAUUGGGGGAGAGCAAACUUGGUAUUGUUCAAUGCCUCAAAAACUCCUUCAUCUAUGAACUCGACACAAUCUUCCAGACAACUAUCCCCUCUUCUUCAAUGACACUCAACUGUCCCCCUCUUCUACACUGAACAUCCUCGGUCUGUCCUUUACUUAUAAUCUGAACUGGAAACUUCACAUCUCAUCUCUAGCUAAAACAGCUUCUAUGAAGUUAGGUGUUCUGAGACGUCUCCGCCAGUUUUUCUCACUCCCCCUCAGCUGCUAACUUUGUACAAGGGCCUUAUCCGUCCAUGUAUGGUGUAUGCUUCACAUGUCUGGGAGGGUUCCACUCAUACUGCUCUUCUAGACAGGGUGGAAUCAAAAGCUUUUCGUCUCAUCAACUCCUCUCCUCUAACUGACUGUCUUCAGCCUCUCUCUCACCGCCGCAAUGUUGCAUAUCUAGCUGUCUACCGCUACUUUCAUGCUAACUGCUCUUCUGAUCUUGUUAACUGCAUGCCUCCCCUCCUCCCGCGGCCUCGCUGCACAAGACUUUCUUCUUUCUCUCACUCCUAUUCUGUCCACCUCUCUAACGCAAGAGUUAACCAGUAUUCUCAAUCAUUCAUCCCUUUCUCUGGUAAACUCUGGAACUCCCUGCCUACUUCUGUAUUUCCACCUUCCUAUGACUUUAAUUCCUUCAAGAGGGAGGUUUCAAAACACUUAUUUAUCAAUUUUUGACCACUGCUUUUACCCUUUUAUGGGACUGGCAUUUCAGUGGGCAUAUUUUUUUAUUGGAUUUUUAUUGCCCUUGGCCAGUGUCCUUCCUACAUAAAAAAAAAAAAAAAUCUAGUUUGUUUUUUAGUUUUUUGGAAAAUUCAUGAAGAGUGUCACCACGCUUAAAUUCUAGGGAAAGCAGACCCUUCCGUUCUCUAUCCUUUAAAGCUAGCUUGUAGAUAAAAAUCUCCAAAAAUUGUUAAUGAUCCUUGUCACUGAGGGUGUCUUGAUUAAUCCACCCAUUGUCUGUUUAGAUUCUUAUAAUAUCUGCAGCUGCUUGACUAGCAAUGACUUGAGCCUCGAGUCUUUCUUUCACGAAAGGGGAUUGAGCCAGGUGCUCACAGACUGCAUUUAUAACCUGGACCACAUGAGUUUUGGCACAAUAGCCAAGAAAUUCCCAGUAAGCGGUUUUUAAAAAUGUCAUAAUCCUGGUUCUCUGUUGGCACUAUGAAUGUACUUGAGUCCAUUAGAUAACGGGCCAAAGAGACAGGUUGAAGUUUUGGUCUGACAGAAGAAAUUUUAUCACCCGGCUCGGUGAUACAAGCGUGAGACAUGACAUCUUAGCACCUAAACAAUGAAAUUUCGGGCUGAAUACCAUGAAUCUGAUCCCGAAAAUGGGACUACGUCAAUGGUGGUAGAGAGUACUUUAAGAGGAACUCUCAUUGUAUCAUGCGUGAUCUGUGGUCCAGCGCCAGUACCAUGGGAGGUAGUAGUGGCUGUGUUUGUUGCGGUAGACAUGAUGUUAGUAGGUGAUUUAGACAUGGUUUCUUUAGGAAGUCGGCAGUGCCGAGUACCACUCCUUGGUUCACGGUGGUCAUCACUCUCGCUAGACUCAUCCUCCACAUCACCCGGUUCUAUAAGCUCACUAUCUUCUAUCUCGGGGGAAGCAGCCUGAUAAAUACGCAACCGAUCAGAUUCCCCAGCUAAUUGCUCUAAUUCCCUCUUUUUAAAAAUGGAGGUGCUAUGCAACAAGUUAGAAUUAUGGUGCUGUAUUAGUAUAAUUUUCUUCUAAGUCCAGAAAACUUCAACGAGUUUUUCAAAGAAAACUACAUCACUAAUAGAGUUAAAAGGAGUGAUAAAUUGAGCUAUUAUGAAUGAUUAUUAAAAAAAGUUCAUUACAUGGAAUUAUAUAAUUAUUAUGUGAAGUGAAAAACGAGUUUUACUAAAUGAAAACACAAGCUGUAAUUUUUCAAAGACAGAUAUUUUACACAAAAUAUUUCUUCACUCAUUAAAGUGUAAAAUAACUAAAUAAUUCAUCACUAAGACCACAAGGGUAAGAACAAGCGAUGUUAUUAAGUUAAGUGUCUAUUGAAGUGUCAGCUAUUACGUGUUAUAAGCUCACCUACUGGAGCCGAGUUCCUCUAUUAGUUUUCCGGUCUUUCUUUGUGUUCCUCUAUGCCUUUUAUGUCAGGGACGCUGAGUCUCCCCGGACAGCUUGAUCGCCUGGGGAAGUACUGUCACAUAUCUAACAGUAGGCCACACGAAGAAUCAAUAAUUGCUGAGAUAAUCAUAUAAAAUAAAUAUUUAUACUAGACUGGGUAUGAACGACUUCAGUGUCGGGGAGAGGAGUGUGUGCGUGUGUUGAUCAUUAUAAUGACAAAAACAAACAGGGCUCCAACUUGACCCUUCAGACUCAUACCGCCGUUUUCACCUCCUCUUACUUCUCCAAUAAGAUUUGUAUCUGUCUCUCACCCAUGACCUGUGAUGACUGGUGUGAGGAUUUACUCCUACAAGGAGUCGUAUCUGUAUCCCUUCUUAUCCGUCGUCUUCUCUUACCUCUGCCUCCACUACCUCUCCACCUAAUCUCACCUCUCCUCCUCUCUUUCCUACACAGAUUACUCCUUCUGCACCUUCUCCUCCACACUAUACAAAUGUACACAGAGUCACCAAGCAGCGUAUUCUAUCAACUGAAGCCAGUUUCCUCUCCAGAAACCGUUUUCGUCGGACACGCAGAACAUGAUAAACUGGCUUAAUUCCUGAUUCAAUAUGACAUAAAUUUGAGCUUGUGUGUCUUACGCCCAAGAGACAUUUCAUUAAUUUAUUGUAAUGACUGGUUAGUGACACAACAGUUGUUCGUCAGCCACAACUCAACUGUAUUUCAGUUCAACUAACACAACAGUGUCAAACACACAUCACUUAUAACAGUAAGGCAUAUCUGGGUUCGAGGAACAGAAUAUAGAAAAUCUGUUGACAACUGACUGACACUUCACCUUGUGUAGAGACAUCACGUCUUUAAUACGACGAUGUCUGUAAACCAGGCCCCGUAUUCUUCAAACCGUCAUAGCAAAGUCCGUCGUUCAUAGCUAAACAAAAUGUCGCAUUUCGGUCAUGACUCUGUUAUAAACAAAUAUUGUCGUUCAUAAACUCCCAUUACCUGUCACAAAUUGCUACGGCAGGGUUCACCCUGUCUUACCGCCGCUUAUGACAGUCAGAAGUCAGUCAAUAUGGCCGCACCACAACAACAAGAUCCCCAGCCGAGGAAUAUUUUCCGAAGAAGGGACGGUCUUCACGAACUCAAUGAUGGGAAGCUGAUCUAGACAUAUCGUCUGGACAGAGACGGUAUCUUGUUUGUUACUGAUCUUGUGAGAGAUGCCUUAUCAAGUAACACUAAGAGGGGAAACCCAGUCACCCCCCCCGAUGAAGGUUAUCGUAACACUUCGUUAUCUUGCUACCGGCAAAAUACAAAUGUGCAGCAGUGAUGACCUCGGCCCUUCUCAACUUGCCAUCAGCAAAGCCAUUACCCAGACCAUUGAGGCCCUUGCACACAUCAGCAUCAUAAAACAGUUCAUUAUAUUUUCCACCAUCCAAGACGUUACUGCGGCGAAGAAGGCAGACUUCAUCAACAUUGCUGAUUUCCUAGGAGGCUAUUGGUGUCAUUGAUGGGAUACACUUAAGGAUGAUAGCACCAAGGGAGCAGGAGGAUGUGUGUGUAAACUGCAAGGGAUACCACAGUUAAUGUACUGGUGGUAUUUGAUGCCAACUAUCGGAUAUUAGAUACCGUUGCCAAGUGACCAGGCUUGGUACAAGAUGCCCGUAUUUUGAGUGACAGUGGAGUGGCAGCAUUAUUUGAGAGGACAUGUGCCACCAAAGAGUCACUUGCUGGGAGAUAGUGGAUAUCCCAGCAAGCCAUGGCUCCUGACACCACCUCUGCUUGGACCUCAAACAAAGUAUAUUAGACGCGGAGUGUUAUGGAAUGGGGAAUAGAACAGCUCAAACGCCACUUACAUGUCCUAAACAGCGAAGUCCAACUCAAUCCUAUUAAGGUUUGCAUUAUGAUACAUGUAUGUGGCAUGCUUCACAACACGCAAGGACAGGAAUAUUCCCAUUCCUUUUGAUGGGGAUCAACCUGCAGAUGCUGAAAGUGAGUUGGCCAUAGCUCGAAGAGGUACAAGUAGUGCCUCCACUUUCAGUUGGUCACCAGAAUCAAGGUCGCCUGUAUCGAGAUGACUUUUGCAACUUACACUUCAACAAUGGCGUCUGAAGCCUGUUCCUAUGCACAGCUGGUCAAGCACAGGCCAAGCUGCUUCCUCUGCCUGCUUAGCUCCUCCCACGGCCCGGGCACAGGAGAUCACCUCCUCCGCAACUGAUUUCAAGGAUCGUGAAGCCGCCUCCUUUGCCUGCACGGCUCCUGCAACUGCUCUAGCAGCUGCAGCUACCUCUUCGGCAACUGCCACUAUCACUUGAGCAGCUGCUGACUCGUUCGUAGGGGCACAGGAUUGCACCGUUCCCUGCGCAGCUUCUGCAGCCUCCUCAGUUCCUAGUUUGUGUAGCUGCAUGGUGGGCAGGGUGGGCUAAGGCACUUGGUUCUGCUCCUCAAGAAUUAUUAUUCUUUGUGCUUCAGCCCAUCCCUUACCAUCAGAGAUGGUAAGGGAUGGCCCUUGCUCCUCGCUGCAAGUAAUGAAUGAGGUAAUGAAUAAAUGUGUGUACAAAAGGCCAAAUGCACAUCUGACAGAUGGUUUCUUUCUCCUUCCAUAGACUAGAGAGUAAAUAUGGCACACAGUGUUAUGGAAAUCGAAGGCAUACAUCAUGCUAAAUUAACAAUUAAAAAGGCCUACAAGAGUUGCAUCCCUUUCAGUAGAUGGAUAUUACUUGACCAGUACUAUGAACUAAGGUACAACUGCAUUACUUGCCAUAAGUUGAUUUUGCUCUGAUGUAUUCAAGUAUAGUUAACUGCAAACAAUCUAUCCAUCAAUAAAGUAAUAUCCUUCAUAUGUUCUU